UACGGAGGGUGCAAGCGUUAUCCGGAUUUACUGGGUUUAAAGGGUGCGUAGGUGGGUCUGUAAGUCAGUGGUGAAAUCUUCAAGCUUAACUUGGAAACUGCCAUUGAUACUAUAGGUCUUGAAUUGUCUGGAGGUAAGCGGAAUAUGUCAUGUAGCGGUGAAAUGCUUAGAUAUGACAUAGAACACCAAUUGCGAAGGCAGCUUACUACGGAUUGAUUGACACUGAGGCACGAAAGCGUGGGGAUCAAACAGGA
rnacentral:rRNA from 1 species